rnacentral:rRNA from 1 species
GCAGGCGCGAAACCUUUACACUGCACGACAGUGCGAUAAGGGGACUCCGAGUGCGAGGGCAUACAGUCCUCGCUUUUCUGUACUGUAGGGAAGUACAGGAACAAGUGCUGGGCAAGACCGGUGCCAGCCGCCGCGGUAAUACCGGCAGCACGAGUGAUGGCCGCUCUUAUUGGGCCUAAAGCGUCCGUAGCCAGCCGAGCAAGUCCGUCGGGAAAUCUGCCCGYUUAACGGGCAGGCGUCCGGCGGAAACUGUUCGGCUUGGGGCCGAGAGAUCCAAGGGGUACGUCCGGGGUAGGAGUGAAAUCCCGUAAUCCUGGACGGACCACCGGUGGCGAAAGCGCCUUGGAAAAACGGACCCGACGGUGAGGGACGAAAGCUAGGGUCUCGAACCGGAUUAGAUACCCGGGUAGUCCUAGCCGUAAACGAUGCUCGCUAGGUGUGGCGUAGGCUACGAGCCUGCGCUGUGCCGUAGGGAAGCCGUGAAGCGAGCCGCCUGGGAAGUACGUCCGCAAGGAUGAAACUUAAAGGAAUUGGCGGGGGAGCACCACAACCGGAGGAGCCUGCGGUUUAAUUGGAGUCAACGCCGG